rnacentral:rRNA from 1 species
AUUGAACGCUGGCGGCAGGCCUAACACAUGCAAGUCGAGCGGCAGCGGGAAAGUAGCUUGCUACUUUUGCCGGCGAGCGGCGGACGGGUGAGUAAUGCCUGGGAAAUUGCCCAGUCGAGGGGGAUAACAGUUGGAAACGACUGCUAAUACCGCAUACGCCCUACGGGGGAAAGCAGGGGACCUUCGGGCCUUGCGCGAUUGGAUAUGCCCAGGUGGGGUUAGCGAGUUGGUGAGGUAAUGGCUCACCAAGGCGACGAUCCCUAGCGGGUCUGAGAGGAUGAGCAGCAACACUGGAACUGAGACACGGUCCAGACUCCUACGGGAGGCAGCAGUGGGGGAAUAUUGCACAAUGGGGGAAACCCUGAUGCAGCCAUGCCGCGUGUGUGAAGAAGGCCUUCGGGUUGUAAAGCACUUUCAGCGAGGAGGAAAGGUUGAUGCCUAAUACGUAUCAACUGUGACGUUACUCGCAGAAGAAGCACCGGCUAACUCCGUGCCAGCCGCCGCAGUAA